GGUUUGAUUAUGGCUCAGAUUGAACGCUGGCUGGAUACUGCACAUGCAAGUGGGCAGCAACUGGACUCGGUCUGGUGGCGAGUGGCGAACGGGUGAGUAAUGUAUGGGUGUCGCCUGAAGUAGCGGGGGAUAACUUUUUGCAGCGUGAACUAAUGCAUCGCCCUUCGGGGAAAGCGGGGACCUUCGGGCCUCGCACUAUUAGAGCGGCCGAUAUCAGUUAUUUGAUUGGUGGAUGCUUGGCUCACCAAGGCGACGAUCGUGGUUUGAAGAGGAUAAUACACUGGAUGGACGCAGCCCAGACUCCUACGGGAGGCAGCAGUGAAAUUUUGGACAAUGGGGGAAACCCUGAUCCAGCCAUCCCGCGUGUGCGAUGAAGGCCUUCGGGUUGUAAGCACUUUUGGCAGGAAAGAAACGGCACGGGAUAAUACCCCGUGCAGCUGACAUUACCUGCAAAUGAGCUUUACCGGCUAACUACGUGCCAGCAGCCGCGGUAAUACGUGGUGCAAGCGUUAAUCGGAAUUACUGGGCGUAAAGCGUGCGCAGAGCGGUUCGGAAAAGAAAGAUGUGAAAUCCCAGAGCUUAACUGGAACUGCAUUUUUAACUACUAAACUAUAGUGUCAGGGAGUGCAGAUUCCUGUAGCCAGCAGUGAAAUGCGUAGAUAUGCGGAGGAACACCGAUGGCGAAAGCAGCUCUGGGCUCUUAUUUCUUACGACGUGGAAGCAAGCAAGUUAGAAUACCCUGGUAGUCCACGCCCUAAACGAUGUCAACUAGCUGUUGUUGAGGACUGGGCCUUGGUAGCGCAGCUAACGCGUGAAGUUGACCUGCAAGUACGGUCGCAAGAUUAAAACUCAAAGGAAUUGACGGGGAUUCCACACACAAGCGGUGGAUGAUGUGGAUUAAUUCGAUGCAACGCGAAAAACCUUACCUACGCCGGCAUGUCGCGGAAUCCCGAAGAGAUUUGGGAGUGCUCGCAAGAGAACCGGAACACAGGUGCUGCAUAGCCUCGUCAAUGGUGUCGUGAGAUGUUGGGUUAAGUCCCGCAGCGAGCGCAACCGCUCAUCAAUUCGUUGCUCACCCGAAAGGGCACUCUAAUGCUGCCGGUGACAAACCGGAGGAAGGUGAGGAUGACGUCAAGUCCUCAUAGCCCAUAUGGGUAGGGCUUCACACGUCAUACAAUGGUCGGGACAGGGGUCGCCAACCCGCGAGGGAGCCAAAUGCGAAGCCGAUCGUAGUCCGGAUCCAUGAUGCGGCUCCGACUGCGUGGAAGUCAGAAUCGCUAUUAAUCGCGGAUCAGCAUGUCGCGGUGAAUACCGUUCCCGGUCUGCAAACUCACGCAACAAUCUGCUGCUGGAUGGAUUUGCCAAAGUAGUUAACCCUAUUGCCGUAAGGAGGGCGAUUACCACGGUAGGAUUCAUGACUGGGGGCGGAAGUCGUAACAAGGU
rnacentral:rRNA from 1 species